GGGCCAUUAGCUCAAUCCGGUAGAGCAGUGGAUUCUUAAUCCAUUGGCUGAAGGUUCAAAUCCUUCAUGGCCCACCA
rnacentral:tRNA from 1 species